rnacentral:rRNA from 1 species
UACGUAGGUGGCAAGCGUUAUCCGGAAUUAUUGGGCGUAAAGCGCGCGCAGGCGGUUUCUUAAGUCUGAUGUGAAAGCCCACGGCUCAACCGUGGAGGGUCAUUGGAAACUGGGGAACUUGAGUGCAGAAGAGAAAAGCGGAAUUCCACGUGUAGCGGUGAAAUGCGUAGAGAUGUGGAGGAACACCAGUGGCGAAGGCGGCUUUUUGGUCUGUAACUGACGCUGAGGCGCGAAAGCAUGGGGAGCGAACAGG